UGGGGAGUGGCCAAGCGGUAAGGCACCUGACUCUGGAUCAGGUAAUCGAAGGUUCGAAUCCUUCCUCCCCAG
rnacentral:tRNA from 1 species